rnacentral:rRNA from 1 species
GACAGAGGAUGCAAGCGUUAUCCGGAAUGAUUGGGCGUAAAGCGUCUGUAGGUGGCUUUUCAAGUCCGCCGUCAAAUCCCAGGGCUCAACCCUGGACAGGCGGUGGAAACUACCAAGCUGGAGUACGGUAGGGGCAGAGGGAAUUUCCGGUGGAGCGGUGAAAUGCAUUGAGAUCGGAAGGAACACCAGUGGCGAAGGCGACUGUCUGGACAGAUACUGACGCUGAGGCGCGAAAGCGUGGGGAGCAAACAGG